CCAAACGAGCCUAGUGAUAGCUGGUUACCCAAUAAAAGAAUUUUAGUUCUACCUAAAGCAACCCCUUGUCCUACAAACUAACACCUUUGCUUUAGAGUUAUUCAAAUAAGGUACAGCCUAUUUGAAUAAGGAAACAACCUAAACUAAUGGGUUAAUUUUUAUACCCUGUACCAAGUGGGCCUAAAAGCAGCCACCUUUAACAAUAGCGUCAAAGCUUUCUACACAAGUAUAUUUAAUGCCACAGCCCAACCCAAACCCUUUAUUUUUAUCGGGUAAUUUCAUACACCUAUGGAACAUAAAAUGUUAAAACUAGUAACAAGAAGAAAACCCUUCUCUUAAAUGUGGAUGUAAGCCAGAAAGGAUAAACCACUGCCAAUUAACGCUAAUGACUUCUAAUUAGUAACACUACAAGAAAACUCUAAUAAAGCCAACGUUAAACUAACACAAGAACAUUUCAAGAAAGAUUAAAAGAAAAAGAAGGAACUCGGCAAACACCAACCCCGCCUGUUUACCAAAAACAUCGCCUCUUGACACAUAUAAGAGGUCCAGCCUGCCCAGUGACCUAGUUCAACGGCCGCGGUAUCCUAACCGUGCGAAGGUAGCGUAAUCACUUGUUCUUUAAAUGAGGACUAGUAUGAAUGGCAUCACGAGGGUUACACUGUCUCCUUUUUUUAAUCAGUAAAACUAAUCUUCCCGUGAAGAAGCGGGAAUCUUUUUAUAAGACGAGAAGACCCUAUGGAGCUUUAAACAAAUUAACAAUUGCUGCCCAAAAUAGCUUUUUCAGAAACACAAUAUAUAGCAUAGCAUUUUGAUUAAUAGUUUUCGAUUGGGGUGAUCACGGAGUAAAAAAUAACCUCCAUGCCGAAAGGGACUCCCCUGAGCAAAAAACCACAACUUUAAGCACUAAAAAAUUAACGUUUAUUGACCCAAUUCCUUGAUCAACGAACCAAGUUACCCUAGGGAUAACAGCGCAAUCCACUUCAAAAGCUCCUAUCGACAAGUGGGUUUACGACCUCGAUGUUGGAUCAGGGUAUCCUAGUGGUGCAGCCGCUACUAACGGUUCGUUUGUUCAACGAUUAAAACCCU
rnacentral:rRNA from 1 species